UACGAAGGGGGCUAGCGUUGCUCGGAAUUACUGGGCGUAAAGCGCACGUAGGCGGCUUUCUAAGUCGGGGGUGAAAUCCUGGAGCUCAACUCCAGAACUGCCUUCGAUACUGGAAAGCUCGAGUCCGGGAGAGGUGAGUGGAACUGCGAGUGUAGAGGUGAAAUUCGUAGAUAUCGGAAGGAACAUCAGUGGCGAAAGCGACUUCCUGGACCAAUACUGACGCUCAUGUGCGAAAGCGUGGGGAGCAAACAGG
rnacentral:rRNA from 1 species